UUGACCUCAAAUCAGGUAKGACUACCCGUCUGAACUUAAGCAUAUCAAUAAGCGGA
rnacentral:rRNA from 1 species